rnacentral:rRNA from 1 species
GAUGAACGCUGGCGGCGUGCCUAAUACAUGCAAGUCGAGCGAACAGACGAGGAGCUUGCUCCUCUGACGUUAGCGGCGGACGGGUGAGUAACACGUGGAUAACCUACCUAUAAGACUGGGAUAACUUCGGGAAACCGGAGCUAAUACCGGAUAAUAUAUUGAACCGCAUGGUUCAAUAGUGAAAGACGGUUUUGCUGUCACUUAUAGAUGGAUCCGCGCCGCAUUAGCUAGUUGGUAAGGUAACGGCUUACCAAGGCGACGAUGCGUAGCCGACCUGAGAGGGUGAUCGGCCACACUGGAACUGAGACACGGUCCAUACUCCUACGGGAGGCAGCAGUAGGGAAUCUUCCGCAAUGGGCGAAAGCCUGACGGAGCAACGCCGUGUGAGUGAUGAAGGUCUUCGGAUCGUAAAACUCUGUUAUUAGGGAAGAACAAAUGUGUAAGUAACUAUGCACGUCUUGACGGUACCUAAUCAGAAAGCCACGGCUAACUACGUG